rnacentral:rRNA from 1 species
UACGGAGGGUGCAAGCGUUAUCCGGAUUCACUGGGUUUAAAGGGUGCGUAGGUGGGUUGAUAAGUCAGUGGUGAAAUCCCCAGGCUUAACCUGGGAACUGCGUCUGAUACUGGAUGGCUUGAAUUCGGGAGAGGGAUGCAGAAUUCCAGGUGUAGCGGUGAAAUGCGUAGAUAUCUGGAGGAACACCGGUGGCGAAGGCGGGUCUCUGGGCCGAUACUGACGCUGAGGAGCGAAAGCGUGGGGAGCAAACAGG